rnacentral:rRNA from 1 species
UUACUCCUACGGGAGGCAGCAGUAGGGAAUAUUCCACAAUGASCGAAAGCUUGAUGGAGCGACACAGCGUGCACGAUGAAGGUCUUSGGAUUGUAAAGUGCUGUUAUAAGGGAAGAACAUUUGCAAUAGGAAAUGAUUGCAGASUGACGGUACCUUGUCAGAAAGCGAUGGCUAACUAUGUGCCAGCAGCCGCGGUAAUACAUAGGUCGCAAGCGUUAUCCGGAAUUAUUGGGCGUAAAGCGUUCGUAGGCUGUUUGUUAAGUCUGGAGUUAAAUCCCGGGGCUCAACCCCGGCUCGCUUUGGAUACUAGCAAACUAGAGUUAGAUAGAGGUAAGCGGAAUUCCAUGUGAAGCGGUGAAAUGMGUAGAUAUAUGGAAGAACACCAAAGGCGAAGGCAGCUUACUGGGUSUAUACUGACGYUGAGGGACGAAAGMGUGGGGAGCAAACAGGAUUAGAUACCYUGGUAGUCCACGCCGUAAACGAUGAUCAUUAGUCGGUGGAGAAUCACUGACGCAGCUAACGCAUUAAAUGAUCCGCCUGAGUAGUCUGCUYCCAAGAGUGAAACUUAAAGGAAUYGACGGGGACCCGCMCAASCUG